rnacentral:rRNA from 1 species
AUGGCGGCGGCGGCGCUGCGGGGGAUCGGCGCGAAGCUAUCGGCGAACCCGGAGAAGGUGACGAGCGCGCUGCUGCUGGGCUCGUUCGUGGCGCUGGCGUUCCGGUCGUCGGAGCAGCAGGGCGAGAUCGACGAGCUGGAGGCCCGCAAGUCCUCCCUCCGCGCCGCCAACUCCGCCAUGUCCUCCACCAUGUGGGCCUGGAGGGAGGAGCUGGUCAAGCUCGCCGCCAUGCCCUCCCCGCCCAUCACCGCCGCCCGCCUCCGCCACAUCUACGGCGAGGAGGACCUCGCCGUCCCGGCGCCCAAGCCGUCAGGCCCUGAUGCCGAGGAGGAACAUGUUCCCCUAAAAAUAACAUGA